GAUGAACGCUGGCGGCGUGCUUAACACAUGCAAGUCGAACGGGAAUUAUUUUAUUGCAACUUCGGUCGAUUUAAUUUAAUUCUAGUGGCGGACGGGUGAGUAACGCGUGGGUAACCUGCCUUAUACAGGGGGAUAACAGUCAGAAAUGGCUGCUAAUACCGCAUAAGCGCACAGAGCUGCAUGGCUCAGUGUGAAAAACUCCGGUGGUAUAAGAUGAACCCGCGUUGGAUUAGCUUGUUGGCAGGGUAACGGCCUACCAAGGCGACGAUCCAAAGCCGGCCUGAGAGGGUGAACGGCCACAUUGGGACUGAGACACGGCCCAGACUCCUACGGGAGGCAGCAGUGGGGAAUAUUGCACAAUGGGGGAAACCCUGAUGCAGCGACGCCGCGUGAAGGAAGAAGUAUCUCGGUAUGUAAACUUCUAUCAGCAGGGAAGAUAGUGACGGUACCUGACCAAGAAGCCCCGGCUAACUACGUG
rnacentral:rRNA from 1 species